AUUUGUAGCAUACAAGGCAUACGGCUCAGUAACGCGUAGUCAACCUAACCUAUGGACGGGAAUAACCUCGGGAAACUGAGAAUAAUGCCCGAUAGAACAUUAUGCCUGGAAUGGUUUAUGUUCCAAAUGAUUUAUCGCCGUAGGAUGGGACUGCGGCCUAUCAGUUUGUUGGUGAGGUAAUGGCCCACCAAGACUAUUACAGGUACGGGCUCUGAGAGGAGUAGCCCGGAGGUGGGUACUGAGACACGGACCCAGGCCCUAUGGGGCGCAGCAGGCGAGAAAACUUUGCAAUGCGCGAAAGCACGACAAGGUUAAUCCGAGUGGUUUCUGCUAAAGAAACCUUUUGUCAGUCCUAGAAACACUGAUGAAUAAGGGGUGGGCAAGUUCUGGUGUCAGCCGCCGCGGUAAAACCAGCACCUCAAGUGGUCAGGAUGAUUAUUGGGCCUAAAGCAUCCGUAGCCGGCUCUGUAAGUUUUCGGUUAAAUCUGUACGCUCAACGUACAGGCUGCCGGGAAUACUGCAGAGCUAGGGAGUGGGAGAGGUAGACGGUACUCGGUAGGAAGGGGUAAAAUCCUUUGAUCUAUUGAUGACCACCUGUGGCGAAGGCGGUCUACCAGAACACGUCCGACGGUGAGGGAUGAAAGCUGGGGGAGCAAACCGGAUUAGAUACCCGGGUAGUCCCAGCUGUAAACUAUGCAAACUCAGUGAUGCAUUGGCUUGUGGCCAAUGCAGUGCUGCAGGGAAGCCGUUAAGUUUGCCGCCUGGGAAGUACGUACGCAAGUAUGAAACUUAAAGGAAUUGGCGGGGGAGCACCACAAGGGGUGAAGCCUGCGGUUCAAUUGGAGUCAACGCCGGG
rnacentral:rRNA from 1 species